AUUGAACGCUGGCGGCAUGCCUUACACAUGCAAGUCGAACGGUAACAGGUCUUCGGAUGCUGACGAGUGGCGAACGGGUGAGUAAUACAUCGGAACGUGCCUAGUAGUGGGGGAUAACUACUCGAAAGAGUGGCUAAUACCGCAUGAGAUCUACGGAUGAAAGCAGGGGAUCGCAAGACCUUGUGCUACUAGAGCGGCCGAUGGCAGAUUAGGUAGUUGGUGGGAUAAAAGCUUACCAAGCCGACGAUCUGUAGCUGGUCUGAGAGGACGAUCAGCCAAUCUGGAACUGAGACACGGCCCAGACUCCUACGGGAGGCAGCAGUGGGGAAUUUUGGACAAUGGGCGAAAGCCUGAUCCGGCAAUGCCGCGUGCAGGAUGAAGGCCUUCGGGUUGUAAACUGCUUUUGUACGGAACGAAAAGCUCUGGGUUAAUACCCUGGGGUCAUGACGGUACCGUAAGAAUAAGCACCGGCUAACUACGUGCCAGCAGCCGCCGUAAUAC
rnacentral:rRNA from 1 species